rnacentral:lncRNA from 1 species
ACAAACUUAAAGUGUUGGUAUAAGAUGCACAAUUUUGUUGCCUUUCAUCAUGGCUUUUGAGGAAUUGACUACACCUUAAAAUAUGUAGGAAGACUGAUAUCGUACUCAAAUAAGGAUAAACUAUCCCAUUGUUUUUUAUAUUUCAACACAUCUCACAUGUUCAGAGCUUCUAAUAUCAUUUCCAGCAUCAUUGAUUAAGUUAUAUAAUGUGAUUGACCAAUUUACUAUACUUAUUACGGUAUUACCAUGUAUGUUUGUUACAUAGACAAUUUUUUGAAAAGCCUAAAUGUGAAAAGAUUGGCAUAACCCUUACAUUACUUUUUUAUUACUCUGAG